UAACACGCGGUACCUAAAGGUCCUAUUACUUGGACUAGGGUAGUGCUGUGGGUGGGGAUGGGGGGGGGGAGGCAGUUAAGGAUUAUGGGAGUUGUUUAUCAUGUUUUAUCACAAAUCUACUUCAUGUACGCCCUACACUUGUUUCUUCCGGUUUUAAUGCGCACGUGCUUAUUUUCACGUUCACUGUAGCUUGUUUAUAAAGGAAGUAUCAUUAUAUUUGUGCAGAGGCUUAUUACCAAACGUCAUAGUGGGUGUCACGUUUCUAUAAACUGUCCGGGGUAUUCUCAAAUGGUUUAGUUUCUAAACAUAAGGCUGAAGAAACGAACAAAGAUUGAAAAGAACCUGACAAGUGGAGGAUCACAUAGUCUCAACUCAUUUUAUAAUUAAUACGAAUAACAAUGCAGCAAUGCAAUGGAAUAACAGUUGAAACAGAACCAGUACUUAAUGUCACUGGACCCAAAAAACGUUUCCAUCUAACGUUGACACAGGCCGAGGUUUUGGCUUGGAUUUCAUUCUGUCUGUGUUGCUGGCCUAUCGGUGGCUACGCUAUAAUAUGUGUAAAUAAGGCCAAGAUUGCUGAGGAUGACGAAGAAUACGAGAAAACUUUAGUUUGUGCCACAUGGCUAGGCAUUGUAGCCCUGGCUUUUGAUCUUGUCUUUAUUAUAGGAUUGGUUACACUCUUAAUCGUCAUUAAGGUAUAAGGGAGUUAUCUCCUUCGUGGACAAAUCGCAUAAUUGCGGACACUGAAAGGUAUCAAUGUUUCCUAUGAAAGCAUUUGGAACAUCUGACAUUUUAUAAAUUCGGAUUCGUUGACUAUCUGUUAAAAGCACUAACCUCCAGAUUGAAAGACAGCAGAAAAGGAAAAAAAAAGUUAGAUAUCAGGAAAUCAUUGCUAUAUUUCUUAAGAAGGUUUAGAACCUUAGUUAAGGCAGAUGUAAACAGAUGCGAACUGGAUGGCGUUUGUAACGGUUACCGAAGUUAAACCGCCGUAAUUAUUACUGCCGUUUAAGCACGAAUUCAUUCGUGGUGUAUUGGUCAAAAAGGAAAUAAAGUUUUUUCUCGAGGCAGCCUGGGUGCGACCCCGAUUCAGACAUUUGAUUUUUCUCUGAUUUCACUUUUUUUUUCAUUUGGAAACAAAGUAUCAUGUUCUAAAGUUUAUAAUAUAACCAAACCACUGCUAAACAAAGAUCAUUUUAGCCAAAAUCUGGUGUAUAUUCUCUUUAAGACUUGGAAAUGUAUGUGUAUGAAAAAGCAUUUUAUUCCUAUGCUGUUUCAGUUAUAACAAUGUCGUUUCAUACCGUACAACUUGCACCAUUCACAUUGUGUUGUAACAAUUAUAUACAGGUAUUUGUAAUGCUUCUCAGUGCCUGUCUAAAAAGAAGGGCGUUUCCUGAACGUUUGUCGAUUAGAGAGGGUUUCUAUUUUCGUUUCCACUUUUUAAAGGAGACAUUUCUUUCUGUAAAUUACAAUUCGUAAUCACAAGUAAAAAUCGUAUUGCGUUUGAAAUAGAUGAUGUCGAAUGAGUGCAGUCUCAGUACCCGUUGAAUAUAGAAUAUUGCUAAAAUUUUGAGAAACGCAUAAUAUUAUAAUAUCUGAAAAAUAGCUGUUAAUAAAGUUUAAUUGUCAUAGAAGUUGAUUAAACAAUGAAGCAGUGGUACGCUCGUGUCACUAACUGCUGAAAAUAAUUCAUGAUUUGCAAUCUACGCUGGAAAUAUUAUCCAAAUGGUGUAUGUUAAAUUCAGGGGCAAUUGAAUUGAUGAAAACUAACGGUAACAUUGACCUUUUUUCGGCGACGCCGUUUAAAUUCGUUUUCGUUACCUAUGCCACGUGACUUCAGUUUGCAAAUCAAACUACUUGAUAACGCAUUAUAGAUAAUUUAUCAAAAUAGAAGAUUUAUGCAACACUCAGCCUGAUUGGACGAGAGUGUCAAUUUCUUUCACUCUGUUGAUUGUGCUACGCUGAGUGAAAUAUAGACAAAGCGUUUAUCCUAAACGACGCUGUUCACAGUUUUAAAGCUAACUUUGGCUCAGUAUAUUUAGCAAGAAUAUUGAUAUAUCUCAAAAUGAUAAGUAAGUUUAAUAAAUAUGAUAAAAACCUGUUCAAAUGCCAACAUAUAUCAAAUUAAAGAAAGAGUUGAAUACGGUCUGCGUAUCACAUGAAUAAGGGUGUGAUAAGAGUCUUUUAUGUAGAGAAGUGCUUUUUAAAAGAUUGUCCUUGUUGUUUGCUUUGAUAUAUUUGUUAUAAAUUAUUUAACUGAUUUAUUAUAUAUGAAUAUUUUUCUUUAGUAUGGUAUGCAAAUAUUGAACUCAGUUGAAAUCUGUUUUAUUCUAUAUAUAUAUGCUAUAUAAUGACUGAAUCUCAUUACACUGAAAUGGAGGUACGCUGCAUUCAGUUUAUCUAUGUGAUAUGACUACGGUCAAACUUUGCUUAUGAAACAGAAAUAUUGAAAGAAUUACAAUUGUAUGUUUUGCUUGACCUUCACUUUUUUAUAGGUGUGACGUCAUUGUCCAAAGAUGCAUGAAUAGCGAAUAUGCAUUUGUUAAAGCGGGAUCAGUUGGCCUAUUUUAGAAAUAAAUAAUAAAUAAAAAAAAUCCUUUAACUGAUUUUUUUUCAUGUAUUCUAAUCAAACUUGAUUUGUAGCAUCUUUAUUAGGUCCGCAGCCAACUUUGUUCAGCUGGGACAUUUAACCCCUUUUAGGGGCUACUAGAGCUAAAACUAGAAAUGCCUUUAUACAGCGUCUCAUGAACAGAUUGGUGGAUCUUUGUCAUACUUGGUCUGGAGCAUCAUUAUAAGGUCCUCUUCCAAAUUUAUUUAUAUAGGAACUUGGGCCCUAUUAGGGACCACUAUAGCUAAAAGUAGAUAUGCCUUUGUAAUGGAUUUUUAUCAAACUCGAUGUGUAACAAUAUUGUAAGGUCUCCUGCUAUUUUCUUACAAAUGGGGAUAGGGACUAAUUUAGCUAAAAAUAUAAACACGUUAAAUGACCUGUUCUCAUCAUGAACCGCUUCAUGAAUCUUCAUCAAACUACUGCUGUAAUUAUUCGUCUAAGGAUAAACGAAACAAAAUUGCAACCCUACGAAACCUUUGCGAAAAAUUAAAAGAGAACCAUUUAAAUUGUUAAAGUUUAGUGUUUAGUUUUGCAAUUUAAAAAAAAUGUUAGAUGAAAGAUGAAUGUUAGAUGAAAAAUUCAUAAACUUCUUUCCUUAUUACAAUUCGCCGACCAUCAUUUUUAAAGAUUUCUUGUUUUGUUCGUAUUACAGGUCUUCUGUUAGCUUUACAUGCUGUGACAAUGAGCUGACACUUACGGGUCAAUACACUUACCUAGGUACUCUGCAUGAUCAGUGCUAAGCAUGUAGCUCAAUGCACAAGCAUGAUUGCCAAAUCUAAAGUUAUAGGGUCUUUGACAUAUGACGUUUUUGUAAAGCUGUACGACUCGACGAUAUUGCCUGUUAUUUUUUACGGAAGUGAACUUUGUGGGUAAUAAAUCGUUGAUUGCUGCACACCUACUCUAUGCGGAACAGGUAUGCCAGCCACUGCAUCUGAAACAGUGAUCUGUCUGUCAACAAUGGCACAGUUUUAUACAAAUAUAUGUAAUAAGUUUUCACAACAUGUAAAGCUAUUAAGGGGAAUGGAUGUAAGCGACCUGUGUGGUUUCCACUUUUUCUAUUUUAGCAGUCUAUUUUACCAUUUUAUGGGCAAAUUAAGAGUAACUGAACAAUUUAAUCAGUGUAGGGGAUAGUCAUAUAAAUGUUUUCGGGAUAAAGAUAUUGAAAGCUUAAUCUUUAGCCGUGUGUUGAACUUGUUGUGUUCAUAUUUUUCAUUUUUAUUGAUUCGUGGACUCUUAUUAUUUUUAUUUUUGAUGCCUUCUUACCGUAAUUAUUCAAAGUUUUGACAGGCAAUCUAAUAAUUAAUCUAAGGCAUUUAUAGUCGCAGUAUUUUAUCUCUUCCAAAUCUCACCAUCAUAGAUUUCACAUUCGUACUUAAUCUGCAUAAUUGUUGCUAUUGUGUAAACAUUUCCUAAUGGAGAAGAAUUCAUAUAAGUUUUGUAAACUUGUUUUCUAAUCCAUUCAUAUACAAAAAUGAUGUAUAUUGUUAUAUGUGCAGUUCAUGGCCAGCUAAUUAUUCUCCCACUUGGUUAUCAGUUCCCUCUGAUUGUAUUUUCUCCCCAAACCGGUUAUUAGUGUUUCACUUCCAUAUAUUUUGCAUUGAUAUAGGUAAAUGCAAAGGGCAAUACAUUUUAUAUUAAGCUCGCAUAUUACGUGUUUUUACAUGUUUUUUUCUGAAUGUUUUAUGUUUUUGCAGAAUUCAUAUUUCUAUAGGAAUCUAUUAAGUGACAGGAUUUAUAACGAAAAUGGUCAGAGCAAACGUGUCAUCACCAUCGUGCUAUCGUACUGUCAUGGUAUAUGUUGCGGCGACGAUAGCACGACGGCGCCAUCUUCAUCAUCGUGCGAUCGCUAUUCCACCAAGAACACGUAAUGCCGCACCGUACUAGUACGACAGUAGUGAUCUGUGCAAUGAUAUAAUACGCCAUUACGUGUUAUCGUUGUUGCAUCGGUAACACACGGUGCCACGACAGUACGAUAUCACGGUGGUGAUGGUGUUCAUGAUUGCCGAGGGCAAGCAAUUCAAGAGAAGCUAAUUGCGCCAAAAUGAAAAUGAAUAUAAGAAGAUUAAGUUCCCUUGAUAUACCUGUAAAAGUUGAACAAAUAAAAAGAACAUAUAAGAAAGAGCAUCAUGGUUUUAAUUUCAACAUAAUUUUUAAAAGAUUAUUUACAAAAAUGUACCAUUGGUAUUCAAAACUGUUUCUUAUUAUACUUCAGUUAUAUCCAACUGUCAUCUGAAUUUCUGUUUGAGACCAUUAGCAUAAUAUUUUUUCUUUCCGAAAUACUAAAUGUUAUUUGUUUAGUUAACGUCACUCAAAUGAAUUUCAGUUUCAAACACCGCAGACAAUUGAUAUAUAUUGAUAUAAAUUGGCCAAAUUUAUUAUUCCUGACAAGUUUAAAGUACGGAAAUGUUGGUAGACCUUUGCUAAACUUGUUGUUAUUAAGCUUAAAUACACUACAGAUGCUAAAAUUAUGUUACAUGAAGUCAGCGUCCUGUGUGGACAGAAGGCGGGGUAGGGGUAGCCUUAUUCGAUGGCUUAUGAUCUGAUAUUUUGUAGUUGCCCUGCGGGACAGCAUCACGCUGUCCCUAAAGGUUUUGUUAUUGCCACUAAGGUAGUGCGGGGAGGUGUUUGUGUGUAUGUGUUUUGGGGUUGGGGGUGGGGGUGGGGGUAUUAAGUAUGAUGCAAGUUGUUUUAUUCUCAUGUUCGUUCAAAAAACUACUUUAUGUAUGCCCUACACUGGCUUGUUUCGUUUUUAUUGCGCAUGUGCUAACUUUCACGUUUAUCAACAAAGCAUCAUUAUACAGAAUAUUUGCAGAGAGGCUUAUUACCAAACAUCAUGGCAGGUAAAUUACGUUUUUUUCUAUUUUGUUAAACAUUUAAAUUUGAUAGGGCCAGAAGGUACAUAAGUGUUUGAUUAUGAUAAGAAAAUGGGGAAAUACAGGUAAUUUUUUUCUGUUUUUCUGUAAUACCAAACCAUUGAACAGCACUGGCGAAUUGCUUUUAUAAAUAUGUACAAAGCGUAUCUUGUAACUUUAUUAUGAUAGUGUGAAUAAAUACUUCUGACUGUAUUGUGAGUUUUAAACCAUGUCUGAGAAAAGUCUUAUAUAUUUGUAAACAUCAAAACUAUUAAAUGCUGUACCGAUAAGUACCUCUUAUCAUUCAAACAAACAUGAACAUCUUUAUCUAAUGCAAUGGUAAUCAACAUAUUCUAUUAACAGAUUUUAGGCUUUCAAUGCCAUCUGAUCAGAUAUUGGAAAAUGAACUUGGAAAAUGCACUGCUUUUGAGACAAACAUUUAAGAUUUUGUUCGAUAAAAAGCGACGAGAUAUAUAAUAAAGGGUCAUUACAACAGUAGCUUGAUCUGGGAUUUUGUAUAGAACAUUAUUAUAUAAUGUAUUUUUAACUGAUUGCUUUUAUUGUGCAUUGUUAGACCGCAUAGAAUAGUGCAUAAUAUAUAAUUUUAUGUUGAAAUACAUAGGUGGCCACUUCUCUAAUGCUUCUGUGACUGUUAAAAUCGAUCUACAUGUGUAUAUGAAUCGACAAAUCCCUAACACAUAUCUAAAAAUAUCAACAUAUUAAUUGAGUAAAUAACAUAUGUCAUCAGUCUCUGAGAUAUGUGAUUGGCUGAUAAUGAUGCAUGUGUUUACUUGUCUAGAACAUUUUGCAUUAGAAUGAUUUUAAUAUGAAAUUAUCCUCCAAUGUGAUGAGCAGAAUAAUUGUCCAUAAUAUUUAUUAAUGUAGGACUAUCAAUAUUCGACUUUUACAUGGGAACCAUAAGAUAUGAAUCAAUGUUACAAGAUUCAUAUUGAACAGAAAACUAUAAUUUACAGCGUUUAAAAUCGAUCUGAUAACGUUGCCUAUAAUUUAAAUCUAAUAACAAGUACUUUUAUCGUAUGGUUGAUUUUAAAAACUUUAUCGAAUCACUUAUGAUACAUUUUUGUCUAAGCAUUUAGUAUUUUUUAGUAUUUGGAAAAUAACGGUUUCCAUAUAAAAAUAAAACACACACGCACGCACGCACGCACGCAACAACAGCAAAAAAUGAGACAUAAACCCGAACAUUUAAUAUUGUAUUUGUUUCAUGCCUACGCCAGCUAUUCACCCAGACUUUUACAGUUCCUAUAUUUACAGCUAUGAUGAAUGUGACAUUAUUAAUAUAAACACAGUAAAUACAUAAUAUGAACACCUAAAAAUUACCAGGAAAUGUCAUGAACUAAUUUUAUAUUAUUAUAUAUCGCUACAUAGGUUAAGCCCUCUACAGACGGUAAGUUUUUGUUGUACAACACCAAUUAAAUUUAAGAUGUACAGCCAAAUAUUAUCGUGUGUAUGAUGCUAUUCCUCGAUUUCGUAAAUCUUAAGUCUUGACUUACAGAUUAGGACAUGUUCUAUUUCGUAAGUCUUGCCUUACGUACCACCCACGUUGUCAAGCAACAAAUUGGUAAAUAAUUAGUUGAUAAGAGGCAAGUGAAUGAAGUUCCAGAAACAAUUGCCCAAAAAAUAAACACAAAUCUGAAUAUAAAAUGGCUUCUAAUGCAUAAUGGAAAAAGGAUGACACUGAAAAAUUAAAUGAUUUGAGCCGCGCCAUGAGAAAACCAACAAAGUGCGUUUCCGACCAGCAUCCGCGCAGUCUGGUCCAUGCUGUUCGCUAACGGUUUCUCUAAUUGCAAUAGACUUUGAAAGCAAACAUCAUUGAUCCUGACCAGACUGCGCGGAUGCACAGGCUGGUCUGCAUCCAUGCUGGUCGCAAAACCACUAUGUUGGUUUUCUCAUGGCUUGGCUCAUUUGUGUCAUGCGUAAUCAAAUUCAUGGGACAUAAAAAGGUGAAUAUUAUUUUUUAUUAUUAAUGGUUACAUUCUUUUCGGUGCCUGAUGCACUAUGUUUACUAGGUAAAUCUCUGUGAUUUAUAUGGGAAUGGAAUACUGUCUGUAUGUGUAAAAAUGUACAAUUUCAAAAUUGUACAUCUUUGAGAUAAUUAGUGUUGUACAACAAAAACCUACCGUCUGUAGAGGGCUUUACAGUCACUUCUUUAAUGCUCCGGCACGAAGCGCUGGGUGAUAGGAGACACUGUAACAUCGGUGUAAUCUCUUGCUUGUUUUCACUUGAAGGUGUCAACUAUUAACUAUUUCUUGUACGUACGUUGUGAUUCGGGGUCUUUCCACCGAUUUUGUGUCUAAACAUGAUGCAAUAGUAACGACAAGAAAAUAUCUAAUUCCACUUGUAUAUUGCUUGAAUUUACUAUUUGUAUAGAGAUUGUGCAUUAUACGCGGUAUUAACACUGUUAAAAGAAAAGUAUCAAGUUUUCAUCCUAGCGUUUAAAAGUUUUAUUACAAUUUAAUCUACAUUCUUUGUACAAUAAAAAAUAACCAUGUUCACUGACAAAGAAACUGACAAAGAAACAAGGAUAUUUGACUGAGAACUUGGAAUCCAGCUUGCAACUUUACUAAAGAAACUGAUAUCCUUCAGUACCAACGUUAACACCACUACAACAUUCCUCCAGUACAUGAAGCUUUGCGCAAGGGUUUGUCAUUGAAGAGUUAUUAGCAUAAUAAUGCAAUUAAGUAUAACUAGGUACAGAAAAAGGUUAUGAAACUGGGGAGAAAUACGUGAGUGAACCAAUAGCUCGGCUGAUAGGACAAUUUGAACAGUCUGGCUGUGCGUUUUCCCCCUCGCCUCGUGUCUAAUUUAUAACCAAUACUGAGGUAUUACUUUCAAUUUACACGUUAGCUCAGUGUAAUCCACCUUCCGAUACUCUCUCCUGUCACAUUACCUCUGUCGUGGAAAUCAGAUAGAAAUUAAUUAUAAAUUCACAAAUCCGAAAUUAUCAAACUUAUAGUUAUAGAACAUCAUAAUAUACAGCUAAAGGUUAUUGUUUUAAGAAAAUGGACUCGUAACGCCAUUCGGCAAUUUCCGUGGGAUUACUUAUUCUCGUCAGUCAGUUCGACAAUUUUCUAAGAAUAUAGAGUAGCUCAACGCGCACAUGAUUUUUCGUAAAUAACCGGAGAAUGCCGAAAGCGCUUACGGAAAACAUGCACUUUGCCGAUUCUCUUCAAUGUUCAGUCUUAAUGAUACGGUUAUCCCUCGUACUCAUAGCUACCAGACUUUGAAAAAGUAAUAUGGUAAGCCCUUACGUUUCGUUGUUUGAUGAUCUAAAGAAGUGUUAAAUCAUGUUGUUUUUUUUUCAGAACCUGGCAAGACGGUAUGUUCUUUCAUUUUCGUGGGCAAUUUUCAUGUUGGAUAUGUUCAUAUAUCAGUAUAUACAGUUUUUCAUGUAAACAACAGAAUUACCUUGCACAGAAUGUUGAGACAGAACCAGCACCUAAAGUCACUAGACCCAAAAAUCUUUUCCAUCUGACGUUGACACAGGCGGAGGUUUUGGCCUGGAUUUCAUUUUGUCUGUUUUGCUGGCUUAUCGGUGCCUAUGCUAUAAUAUGUGUAAAUAAGGCCAAGAUUGCUGAGGAUGACGAAGAAUACGAGAAAACUUUAGUUUGUGCCAUAUGGCUAGGCAUUGUAGCUCUGGCUUUUGAUCUUGUGUUUAUUAUAGGAUUGGUUAUACUCAUUACGAUGUAAUUUUUUAAGAGAGUUAUCUUUCUGUGGAUAAAUCGCUUAUUGGCGGACACUGUAUGGGUAGCAAUGUUUCCUAUGAAAGAAUUAUGAACAUUUCACUUUUACAGACUUUGGAUUAGUUGACUACCUGUUAAAGGCAAUGACCUUCAAAUUGCAAGACGACAAAAGAAAAGAGAAAAGUGUAGAUAUCAGGAAAUUAUUGCUGUAUUUGAAGGUUUUGAACCUUAUUUAUUGACGGAUAGAACCACUUGCGAACCAGCUGUUUUUGCCAUUUUCUAUUCAAAACUGGACAGUGCCUGAAACGGAUUACCGGAGGUAAACUGCGUAAACAUUUUUAGCGUUAUAGUGAACUGUCGUCAAGUACGAAUUUCUACGUGGUGCACUGGACAAAAAGGAAGAAAAUGUUUUAUUGCCAAGGCAGUCCGGUUUCGACUUCCUACUCGGACAUGUUUUUUUUUUUGUAGAUUUCACAAUUUUUAAGAUCGAUUAGAAACAAAAACUCAUGUUAAUGUACUUUACAACUGACAUUAUUCAUAUUGUGUUGUAACAGUUAUAUAUAUAUCUGUUAUGCUACUCAGUUCCUCUCUGAAAAGUAGGACGUUUCUUCUGAAUGUUUGUCGAUUGGAGAGGCUUUAUAUUUUCGUUUCCGCUUUUUAAAAGAACAUACAUUUUAUCCUGUAAUUUAGUUGUGGUGUUGUCCACUUCAGACUUGAAGCUGGCUGUUACGAGAACCUCCCCAUGUCAAAUUUGCACAAAAUCUGUUUAAAAUGAGGUGCAUGUAACACUAUAUUUUCAUUGUUAUGCUUUUGAAAAUGUAAGACUGAAAUUUAUAGCGAAAGCUCUUUAGAUUAAACCUGAUUUUAGUCCAUUCACAAAUUACGAAAAAAUGUUUUUAUUUUCUCCAACGAUGAUAUUGUUAACUUAUUAACUUAAAAGUUACUGCAAAAAACUGUUACAGAUUGCUGCAAUAAAGGUAAAACAUUUUGUAUCAGUAGGUAAUUUAGAAUUUUAUCCUUUUUAUUAUUGUUUAGCGAUAGGUUUACUUAGUACUCAGUAGCCACUGAAAGUUUCUUUCAUUUGUACUGAUAUAAUAGUAAUAGAUGGAGGAAUAAGUUUUAAAGUAACUUAUGUUAGUUCUUAAUGAAUUUGAUUUGAUAAGAGAACUGGCAGUAUGUUCACACAAAAAUUUCAGUCUCACCUGAGUUUGAUAAACUGUCAGUCGUAUCUAAACUGCAUGUUAAAAAUAGAAUGUUUAGGUUGUAUUUUCAAGAGACAAUUCAUAUUAUUUAACUGAAAGGUAAUCUUGAAGUUCUAGUAAAAUUUCCUGUCAAAUUUCAGUCUGAUUUUUCUCUUACCAGUCGUUUAGUCAGUCCAAAUGUUAAUUUUGUUUCUUAUUUAAAUGUGUAGCUAACAUUUUACCCAAUCGAAGUUAGCAUUAGUUUCUGACUAUGUAAUGUGUAGAGUAGAUAUGAUGUUGAAUUUUAGGGACAUUUGUCUCAAUAUAUAUCUGAGUUGUGACAUAAACACCAUCUUAAUGUUUUACUUAUUGUCACUUACAAUUCAUUGAAUUAAGAAUUUUAUAUAUGUAUGCAUGUUACUAUUUGUACUAUGACCAGCCUCAAAUAAAUGAAUAGCCAUGUAAUAUAAGUAGUUGACGUGAUUAUAUAGGCCAAUUGAUUGUCAACAAAAUCAAAUUAUCGAGAUUUCACUGUAGUAUGGAUGUGUAAUCAAAAUAGAUUACAAUCAAUUAAUCAUUGUAACAAGCAAUUGUAUUGCACACGUGCCUAUAUUAAUGUCGACAUACUUAACACGCUCAUAAACAAGGAAGUUCCAUUAUUUCGUAUAUAAUAUUAUACUUUCGCAAAUAUUAUUAUAAUUGUGCAAGUGCUUGAUAACCAGACGCCAUCAUGUCAGGUUGUAACACAGCCGGCCCCCAGAUCCGUGAGACCCACUCAACGUCCUCAUCUUACUUUGAAACAGGCGGAGGUGUUGGCUUGGAUUUCAUGCUGCUUAUUUUGCUGGCCAAUCGGAAUCUAUGCUAUAAUAUAUGUAAACAAGUUAUGAACAGCAUAA